CAUAACUUCAAAAAUAUUAGUCCAAACACAAUGAAAUUUUCACCAAUAGAUUUCAAAUCAUUUGUUCUACCAAAUGGUACUAUCAAAUCAGGAUUUUAGCAAAAUUACAAUUUUGCCCUUGAAGAGCAUAAGGACUUUUUCAAUUGUUUGUAUCCCUUCAAUCUGCUUUGUAAUCAUCAAAAUCAAUCUAGGAGCAACACCAAAUGAUGUGGAGAUAUUGGUAUGGCAUACAAGUGAGAUGUAGGAGUAUAUCUCAUUGAACGUGAUCAACUGCAGAGCACUCUACUGUCAAGGGUAGCUCGUGAAGGAUAAGGGUUUAAGUGUCCCUCCGAUCUGAGAUCACCAUAGUGACUUGUAAGCAACUCACUAUACUUUGAUGUCAGACUAACUGAGUUUUAAAUUCAAUGAUGAAAGAUUUUUGGAUGCAGUUAAGUACUUGUCAAGUCGGUGCAUGAGUCAAGAUGGAAUUGACCCCUCAGAAUUAGUAGGAGUUAAUGUAUCAAUGUAUUUUAAUUUAGCAAAAUCUGGAUCCGAAUAAUCCAUGUGAUAGAUUUGAAAGAUUGAAAUACAAUGUGG
rnacentral:lncRNA from 1 species